GUUCUGCUGCGGCGUUGGUGACUGCCAAUAACGUUUUAUGAUCUAUGCUUUUUGAAUGUGGGAAUCGUGAUGUAUCGGUGGCAGUAGACCGGGCGCGUACCCGGAAACUUUAAACCGAGGCCGAGAUUCCCCCCUGGAUUUAUCCAGGUCAAAAACUGAGGCAAGACGGCGUUGUGGGGAACUU
rnacentral:other from 1 species